rnacentral:rRNA from 1 species
UACGGGGGGAGCAAGCGUUGUUCGGAUUUACUGGGCGUAAAGGGCGCGUAGGCGGUCAGCACAAGUCAGUUGUGAAAUCUCCGGGCUUAACUCGGAAAGGUCAACUGAUACUGUGCGACUAGAGUGCGGAAGGGGCAACUGGAAUUCUCGGUGUAGCGGUGAAAUGCGUAGAUAUCGAGAGGAACACCCGUGGCGAAGGCGGUUCUCUGGGACGGUACUGACGCUGAGACGCGAAAGCGUGGGGGAGCGAACAGG